rnacentral:rRNA from 1 species
UACGUAGGGUGCGAGCGUUGUCCGGAAUUAUUGGGCGUAAAGAGCUCGUAGGCGGUCUGUCGCGUCGAUCGUGAAAACUUGGGGCUUAACCCUGAGCUUGCGGUCGAUACGGGCAUGACUGGAGUUCGGCAGGGGAGACUGGAAUUCCUGGUGUAGCGGUGAAAUGCGCAGAUAUCAGGAGGAACACCGGUGGCGAAGGCGGGUCUCUGGGCCGAUACUGACGCUGAGGAGCGAAAGCGUGGGGAGCGAACAGA